UUGUUAGGUGAAAAGUCAUACUCAUGUAAAGGAGAAAAAAGGACAGCUUUGAUUCUUUCUACACCCUUAGACUUUGUGGAAAAGGGAUAGUUGUACCAAUUACAAGUAAAACCACUGCAAAAAAAAAGGAGACGGAAGAAUCACUUUGCAGAUUACUCUUAACAUUCAACAGAUUUCAGAAAUGGAGAUUGGCUUAGCAGUUGGUGGUGCAUUUCUCUCUUCAGCUUUGAAUGUUCUCUUUGAUAGGCUUGCUCCUCAUGGUGAUCUGCUCAACAUGUUUCAGAAGAAUAAGAAUGAUGUUCAGUCCUAAUGGGACUGAAAGACUCGAUAUUCGUUGUUGUGAGAAUCUUGAAAUACUUUCGGUGGCAUGUGGGAUCCAGAUGACGACAUUGAUUAUUUCGGAAUGCAAAAAGCUGAAGCGGCUGCCAGAACGUAUGCAGGAACUCCUUCCCUCUCUUAAGGAACUGCGACUGUGGAAAUGUCCAGAAAUAGAGUCCUUUCCUGAUGGAGGAUUGCCCUUCAAUUUACAACUCCUUGAGAUCAGCUAUUGCGAGAAACUGGUGAACGGGCGAAAGGAGUGGCGUUUACAGAGACUCCUCUCUCUCAGAGAGUUGUACAUCAUCCACAAUGGCAGUGACGAAGAGAUUUUUGGUGGUGAGAAUUGGGAGUUGCCUUGCUCUAUUCAAAGGCUUUUCAUAGGCAAUCUGAAAUCAUUAAGCAGCCAACUUCUCAAAAGCCUCACCUCUCUUGAAUAUCUACGUACUGAUAAUUUACCUCAAAUUCAGUCACUGCUGGAACAAGGGCUUCCCUCCUCUCUUUCUGAGCUACGUUUAUCUCUUCAUGAUGAGCUCCAUUCACUACCAACCGAAUGUCUUGGGCACCUUACUUCGCUUCGACGUCUAGAGAUCAUCAAUUGCCCUCAACUCCAAUCUCUUGCAGAAUCAGCGCUGCCCUCCUCCCUCUCUGAGUUGACCAUCUGGAAUUGCCCUAAUCUCCAAUCCCUUCCAGUAAAAAGGAUUCCCUCUUCCCUCUCUAAACUAUCUAUUUACAGAUGCCAAUUGCUCAAACCACUCCUAGAAUUUGACAAGGGGAGGUACUGGCCAGAAAUUGCUCAUAUUCCUGAAAUAUAUAUGGAUUUCGCAUUAGGUGACAGCGAAUGGCUGUGAUGAUUAAUAAAAACGAAGCUCCCCCACAUGAGUUGAUCAAUGAAUUUGCAGAACCACUAAGAAGUGCAUAAAUGCUCGAAAAAAUGAAAUCUCUAUUUCACAAUCAGGAGUUGUUGAUCCAUUGGCAUUGUAGGAGUUGUUCAAUCGCUGAGCUGCAUAUAUAUAUAUCAUUGACGUAAUCUCCAAUCGCUUGCAGAACCAUCAGACUGGCCUCUUCCAUGUCUGAACUAUGUAUUUCCAACUGCCUGUUGCUCGAACCACAUCUAGCAUUUGAGAAAGGGGAUUGCUUGUCAUAAAUUGCUUAUAUCUCCUCAUCGAGAUUGGUCGGGAGUACCUGCAAUGAUUAAAAUGAUUGGUUCUCUGUUAAAUUUAAAUCUUGUUGAGCAGGGUUUAGCGUCUAUUGCCACUGUGAAGCCGAGAGAUCACCUCCAGAUUAUCAUGAAAAAUGACAAAUAAAAAGUACUAUCUUGCAUCUCCAGAAAUUUUUAAACAUUUUACUUGAGAAAGGAGGAUGUGAUUUAGAGUUGUACAUGUGGGUAGACUCUACAGGAUCAACAACCAUAGCGCACGAAGUAUGGUAGAAUUCCUCGUUAUGGCUAUUCAAGAAUCAUGUGAUGCGGUGAAAGGUUUCCCAUUGGGGUUCCCGACCCUCCAGAUUUUCACUUGCCAAUAGGGGGGUUUCCUUGCUAUUAAGGUGUCAAGGCGGUCGAAGGUCACAAGUGGAAGCAACCGAUGCUUUGAUCAUUCAAUUGACUCCUCGCUGUCAUGCUGGCAAAAGCAGGGGGUUCGGUUGGUUUUACCUCAGAUCAAUUCUUUGUUGCAAUCGCUUUGAUCCACCCAAAUUCUGUGAAGUUUGAACACCAAUUAGGAGUAGUCAUUUUCUAGUACCAAUUACAUGAUCCAGUGGUAUUAACUAUCAGAACUGAUAUUGUUAAAGCUGAAGCAUUUCAACUAAUUUACUCAUUAUGUUUAUAGUAUGUCUAUACAUGAACCAUUGAAGAUUUUUAGUUCAUCUCAAUAUCAAUUUAUAUACUGUUGUUGUUUCCUUUUUCCAGUGUGUUGAGCAAGGAAGAGGUGUUUCGGGGUAAUGAUUGUAUAGCAAUCUGCGUCAAUAAAGAUCUUCCCUCAUCGCUCUUUGUUCUGGUAAUCAUUUUCCUAUAUCUGAACUAUGCGUUUAUGGCAUCUGUUGCUUGAACCAUGUUUACACUCUAGAAAGGUGAGGACUGGCAUAAGAUUUCUAGUCCAUCUAAAAAGUAUCGGUGGUGACUCGUCUAAAGAUGAAGUUCAUGCGACUGGGAACAACAUUAGCUCGUUUCACUUUGUUCAUCCAUUAUCAUUGCAGGAGUUGUUCAUUCAAUUUGUGGAACACUUGGAAGAGCAUGAAUUUUCGGAAAAAUGAAAUCUCUAUUUCACAGUUAGGAGUUGUUCAAUCUUGUCUUCGUUGUCUUAAAGUCUGUCAAUUCUUGGAAUCACAAGGAAGAACUUGAAUGGUCAGAAACUACGCAAAUCAAAAAUGUGGAUGAAGAAUUCCAAACACAGGUUCUUUUUCACCACACGUCUGUCUACUUUGCCUUCCUUGAGAUGAAGCAUGCCUUGCUGCACAUGGAACAUACAGCUCUAAUGGAACCCAAUAUUACAUGAGAAUAAAAGUUGUUUGAUGUAACACAUAAAAGAACAUGUUGUACAUUAUGGUAUAUAAAUAUAUUGUUAUGGGGCCAUAUAUUUUGCUCGAAUCUUUGAAUACAAGUGUGUUUGCUUCUUAUGAUA